rnacentral:lncRNA from 1 species
UAUGGCAAGUGUACAAAGAGAGUUCUGGAAGGUGACCCCUCAACCUUUCAUAUCUCUUCUGCAUGGAAAAUUACAACCUUUAAUUAUAACUCAAAUCAAUUUAUUUAAUAUAACAUUAUUUUGCUGUAAAAUUCAUGUGACACAAAAUAAAUAUUUACAGACUAAAAACAUCAUGAAAGUUUAAUUAUAUUAUCUCAGGAAAAUAUAACUCCAGAGCACAAUUUAAAAUCCAAAGUUUUCAAAAUAAAGAAUUUUGCAUGAGCUCUAACCUGUAGAACUGACCCUGUGAAGUCUUUUAGUUCAUGAAAAAGAAAAAUAUUUCACUUCCAUUUAGUCAAUAGAUUACUGACAGUAAAUUUGCUAAUGAUACCUUGAGCCCUAAAAUUAGAUUUCUUUAACUGUUAGAUGAACCAAUGGUUUCCAAAUCAUGCUGAAAGCUAGCAGCUACAGCUCCAAAUUGACCCCUGGCCUGGGAACCUCCAUAUUCUGUGGGUGAGGCCCUAAAAAGGAAAAAAAAAAAAACAAGAAAUAAAAUAAAUAAAUAGAUAAAUAAAUAACUCUAAAUGCAUAAAAACAGAAAGUAGAUUUGUGAUUGCUGGGGGCAGGGGUAGAGUGGGGAAAAAAUGGUUGAAAGUGAUCAAAGUGUUCAAACUUCUAGUCAUAAGAGGAAUAAGUUCUGGGGAUGUAAUGCAUAUCAUGAUGAAUAUAGUUAACUAUACUCUAUUGUAUACUUGAAAAUUGUUAACCAUAGAUCUUAAAAGUUCUCAUCAAACUCACAAAAUAAUGAUAGCUAUGUGAGGUGAUGGGUGUGUUAUAUAACCUUAUUGUGGUAGAAAUUUCACAUACAUAUAUAUAUAUCAAACUAUCACAUUGUAUACAUUAAACUUACACCAUAUGUCAAUUACAUCUCAAUAAAUAAAAUUAAAUAACGAAUGCUUAUAAAAAUUACUACUCUCAAGAAAUUUUUAAAACAGAAAGAUUUAUGUCAGAAAUUAUGUUCUUAAUCAAAUUAAUCAUGAUCUUUAAUGAAAAUAUAAGUAAAAUAUGGUAGAUCAAAAAGAGGUAAGGAUUCAGAACACUGACAAUUUCAGAAUUCAUUACUGAACUUAUUAGGGUUUAAGUAUGUAUACAUGAGUGUGUGUAUGUAUGAGUAAGUUAGGAAUUGAGAGCAGAAAAGGGAAUUUUGAAAUAGGAAAACAGAGAGAAAAAUAUUUCUUUACUUACUGGGUCAGUGAGUCUUUCUUGGGCCACAUUCUGUUAUUCUCUUAGUCCUUCUUAUCCAGGCAAUAAGGUAGGGCCAAUUAGAUAAUGAACUGUUUCAAAAUAUCUGUAUAGCAAAAAAAAUAUAUAUAUAUAUAGUGGUCAUCUGUUGCUACUCAGGAUCCAUUUCUUUUCUGAGAUCAGAACCAUUAGUUUUCUGGAAAACACUUGACCCAACCCUGAGUCCAAGCUUGUGUUUUGAAUGGGAGAUGACAUGUUAGUACUUUCUAGAUGUAUGAGAAAUAUAACUCUGGAAUGGCUCAUUACUGUGUUCCCGAACUUUAGAAUGUCAGUUUGCACCAAAGAAGAUAAGACCAACAUAAAGAGGAAAGCAAAGAUGAUGAUGGACCAGCUGUCCUGGGGAUUAGUUCUGCACUUUCUUGUAUUGGGUUAUAUAAGGUAUCCUAGUACCUUUCAAAUAACUUUCUUGCUGUAUUUUAAGCUUAUUCAAACAGGUUUCUUAUACUCUAAAGCAACAGCUCUGGUGGAUACAGUGUAAUAGUAGAAUGCAUGUUUUCAAUGGUCAGACAAACUUCACUGAAGCAAUAUAUAAUGGUCAGUAGAUGAUUGUUGUGGUCCACUUAGACAGGAGUGAUAGUCUAAACUAUGUGGUCAGAGAGAUGAACACCAAGUAAGUAGAUUUAUUGCUUUAAUAGGAAGAAAGCCAGAAUGGACUCUUUUAGGGACAAUAUUUUUCAAUAUGUAGCCCCUAGACACCUGCAUCCUAUUCACUUAGAGUGAUUGCUAAAGUCAACAUUCUUGGGCCCCAGCCUAGACCCAGGUCAUCAGAAUCUCUGGGGAGUGAAAGGAACUUUCUUAAACUAGCAUUCCAGAUGAUUCUAAUGUGGGUUAGAGGUUGAGAACCACUGCCUUGGAGGAAUGGUUGCCAUUACUAGGAUGCUAAUAUAAUGCAGUGUUUAGAGGUAAUACAUGCACAGUAAGGAUCCAAUUGUGCAGAGUGCAGAAAAAAACAUAGGAGAAAAAUCCAGACAGUGCUUUCCUAUGGUCAUUAUGUUAUAAUGACUAGAAAUGGAGAAAGAGCAGAUGAAAGCAUGGGACCUAAGAACUACAUAUCAGUAAUAAAGUAGAUUAAAAGUUUAAUAUAUACAUUAUAUAUAUAAAGAGAAAACACUGACUUGGUGUUCUUAUAUAGGAAAACAAAGACAAUCAAAUAUGAUUUCUGCAUUCCUUUGUUGCUGCUAUAUGAAUGUUUAUCCACUGCAAAUAGCCAACAUAUGCAUGAAAAAUUAAAAAUCCAUUCAAAGCAAUGAAUUAAUGGCCUAAUGUAAAACAACUAUCCCAAACUAUCUGUUCAAUUUCCCCUCAACUGUAUCAAACAAAUUUGCUACUGAAAUGGUGGUUUCAACUUCCAUUAAGACUGCCCAUCUGAUUUAAGUAAAUUUUUUCACCUUGAAAAUGAACUCAUAAUUUUAUGGCUUGUACUGUGUUGAAAGAUCUUAAAUCAGAGACCUUAAUCCAACCAAUUUUCACACACACACACACACACACACACACACACACACACACACACACGCAAAUGCCCCAAGUACAUUUCAAACUAGAUGAAUAAAAUAUCAAAUGAAGAAUCAUCAUGCAUAUGACCAUUUGCUCAAAUGAGUUCAUUUUUUUGUAUCUAGCCAGCAAGAAUCUAUUUCUACAAGAAAUGCAGGAGUUAAUGCCUCUGAGAAGAACAGCCACAAUCUAACCAUCUUGUCAAAUCCAUUCCCUGGAACCUCAGGGGUAGAGCCUUCCUACCAGCUUCAGGGAGGCCGCAUCAGCCUUUCCUUCCAUUCCUCAAUCUUCCAUUGUCAGACCGUGUUGGUAAUUGGUUUUUAAUUGGUUCAUUUACCCGAAUGAUUUAUACUGCCUCAGGUAGACAAGAUUUAAUGACACCCAUUACAGGGCUUUAGAUUAUUUCACAAAUAGAUAUGCUGUUGUCCUUCAAGAUUGAAGAUCCAUGCAUAUGAGUGUUAUCAUUCAUACAUCUCUGAUGUAGAAAAGUCCAGCGAGGCUAACAAGGAUAAAAAUCAGAGUUUAUCAACUGUGGACUAUGGACAAGGCAUUUUGCUAAGUUCUUUAUACACAUUAUCUGAUUUAACAGGCAUUUCCAUGAGAAGAGAAAUAAACAGAAAAAAGUGUCCAAAGAGUUGCAUUUGUUUCUGAACAGAAACUGCUUACAACUGUUUCUCCUUAACUUUCUGGAUGAUCACUUCCUUUGCUCAAAUUAGUGGCCCCACUUUGAGCAGUAAAUAAUGUACUCAGAAAAUCACUGAAGAAGUUAGAUAAGACAUCUAGCUUAAUUCUGGGUUCUGAUAAUAAUUGUGGGACUUUAAUCCAAUUAUUUAACAUUUGGGUUUAGACUGGCUCUCCGGAAUGCACUCUCAGUAGUCCUUAGAUAAUGUGGUUCACUGCAUAUGCCUAUUUCUCAUUUUGAUUGAUUAGCUACUUGAGGUACUGUCAAAUCUUCCUACAGUGUAACCUAUGCUUGUACUUCAGUGUUCUCUUAAAAUAUAAUUUCUGCCUAAUAAGAAAACCAUUUAAUGUCUAAAAAAGUUAUAAUUACUUUUCAUAUAUGUAUCAUCACAUAGGUGAAUUGAUAUGCAUUGGUAUUUAGAGAUUCUAAUGUUGUUUAUAUAAAACAAGAAAUUCAAGUGGACUCUUCUGAAUGAUAAAUUUGGAUAAAUUUAGAGAGGCACAUUUUAGGAUUGGGACUUUGUUCAAUUAUAGAUUUGCACAGAAAUCAUACAAAUAAUUUGGCAGGGCAUAACGUGUCUGGCUUUUACAAGAAAUAAUCUUUGGCAAACCUAGAUAUUUUGACAAGAAUAUUUUUUCUUACUUGGUUUAAAAAAAUGUUUAGUAUUUACUUUGUACUCAGAAUCAUUGACAGACUUUUGCUGAAUAUCCACUCCUUCAACACGCACAAUUUCUGAAAAUAAUGUUGCAUUUUUCUAAUUGUUUCUCACAGUAUCCCAAGUUUAGGGAAGCAGAUUUACAAGAUUUACUUCAAUUGUUAGAAAACUGUGGAUUAGUGCAAACGUAUUUAAAUGUGAUCAGACCUUCAUGUGUGCUCAUAUGUGCAUGCCUUGAUUCUUCAAAUAAAUUCAGUUCAGUUGUAUAUAACUGGAAAAAAACUUAAAAUGGAGCAGGCUGCUUACCUCAGAAUUUAUCUGUUCUAAGGAGGAGAAAAAUAGUCUUUUAAAGUGUCAGUUGUGGAGUUCCUAUUGUGGCUCAGCCAGUUAAGAACCCAAUUAGUAUCCAUGAGGAUGCAGAUUUGAGAUCCCUGGCUCAGUGGGUUAAGGAUCCGGCAUUGCCACAAGCUGUGGCAUAAGUCCCACACCCCCCCCGCACCUCGCGUUGCUGUGGCUGUAGUGUAGGCUGGCAGCUGUAGAUCUGAUUCAACACCUAACCUGGGAACUUCCAUAUGUCGCAGGUGUGACC